AUGAACAAUAGAAAAGCAUCACAUGAAUGCAGCUUGGAGCCAUCAUAAUGGGUUGUCUCGUUGACUGCUGAGAAACUGUCACGCACAAGGAAGUGCCGCAGUAAUACACAUAACUGGGACAAGAAAAGACAGCAGACACUAUUUAUGGCUGCUGCUGAAAACCUUCCCCUGAAGAAGUAUUCCUUUCAAGACACUUCGGAAACCGUGGCGAUGGUGCUAAAAUAAAACCUUGUUCCUCCUGGCUGGCCUAUUUCUAAACAAUGACACAAGGACUCAUACCUUCAGAUGGAUUAAAUGCUGCUCUGUCUCUCUCUUCCUGUCUCCAUAACUCUAUCCCUGAGAGAACGGCAGCGAUGGCAGCCUCGCUCAUUUAGUCUGGAAAACAGGCAGUCUGCUGCUCUUGUAGUUUUUCAUGUUAUGUUUAAAUGACAUUUAAACAGAAUUGUUUUAAAAUAUUAGAGUGCAACAGGAUGCAAACACUAUUCAAAAGUUACAAGAGUUCCUACAGCUUAAGGGUCGGGUCACGGGCCAAGCAGAGCACCCCAGAUGUCCCCCUCCCCAGCAAUGCUUUCCAGCUCCUCCUGGGGGACCCCAAGGUGUUCCCAGGCCAAACAAUUUCCAAAAAGUUCCUUGGAAUUUGGUAGUAAUUAUGGGGAACAUAGAGACAGUGUUGAAUUUGUACACUAGAAAUUAUGUAUUUCAAAUUAAUUUCAGCUUAAACUAGAGAGUCUUUCAGUCGGUGUACAUAUAAUCCAACAUGGAGGAUAGAGUUUCCUAUUAUAAAUUAAUAAUGAAUGGAUAUUUACUUGGGGAUAAAGUAACUCAAAAUAGUACCAAGUUAUACAUAUAUCUUUUACAGGAAAAUUCCUAAGAAAAUAUGGUGCAGUAAAAUAAAGGGUUACUCUCAUUCUAGGCUGUUAUUAUAGUAUAUAUAUUUUAUACAGUACCUUUUUAUGUAUUUCACUCUUGACAGUAUAAACACAGUAUAGCAGGACCUCUGUGUGUGACAUUAGCUACGCCUCCUCUUGUGACUGACUGCUGCAUUGU